rnacentral:rRNA from 1 species
AAACCAACAGGGAUUGCCUCAGUAACGGCGAGUGAAGCGGCAAAAGCUCAAAUUUGAAAUCCCCCCGGGGAGUUGUAAUUUGAAGAUUGCGUCUUGGAGGCGACCGUGUCUAUGUUCCUUGGAACAGGACGUCACAGAGGGUGAGAAUCCCGUGCGGCACGGCCCCCGGCUCCUUAUAAGGCGCUCUCGACGAGUCGAGUUGUUUGGGAAUGCAGCUCAAAGUGGGUGGUAAAUUCCAUCUAAAGCUAAAUACAGGCGAGAGACCGAUAGCGAACAAGUACAGUGAUGGAAAGAUGAAAAGCACUUUGAAAAGAGAGUGAAACAGCACGUGAAAUUGUUGAAAGGGAAGGGCAUGCCGUCAGAUUGUCAGUGUGGGUAAGAAGCGGGGUACAAAGACUGUGGAACGUGGCCCUCGGGUGUUAUAGCCGCAGUUCAUGCCCCGUCUC